rnacentral:rRNA from 1 species
AUACGUAGGGGGCAAGCGUUGUCCGGAAUUAUUGGGCGUAAAGCGCGCGCAGGCGGUUCUUUAAGUCUGGUGUUUAAGUGCGGGGCUCAACCCCGUGACGCACUGGAAACUGGGGGACUUGAGUGCAGAAGAGGAGAGCGGAAUUCCACGUGUAGCGGUGAAAUGCGUAGAGAUGUGGAGGAACACCAGUGGCGAAGGCGGCUCUCUGGUCUGUAACUGACGCUGAGGCGCGAAAGCGUGGGGAGCAAACAGGAUUAGAUACCCUGGUAGUCCACGCCGUAAACGAUGAGUGCUAGGUGUCGGAGGGGUCCACCCUGCGGUGCCGAAGUCAACACAUUAAGCACUCCGCCUGGGGAGUACGGUCGCAAGACUGAA